rnacentral:sRNA from 1 species
UGAAACAACAGGGCCUGGGAUUCAUCGA